rnacentral:rRNA from 1 species
AUUGAACGCUGGCGGCAGGCCUAACACAUGCAAGUCGAGCGGAUGAAGGGAGCUUGCUCCUGGAUUCAGCGGCGGACGGGUGAGUAAUGCCUAGGAAUCUGCCUGGUAGUGGGGGAUAACGUCCGGAAACGGGCGCUAAUACCGCAUCCGUCCUGAGGGAGAAAGUGGGGGAUCUUCGGACCUCACGCUAUCAGAUGAGCCUAGGUCGGAUUAGCUAGUUGGUGGGGUAAAGGCCUACCAAGGCGACGAUCCGUAACUGGUCUGAGAGGAUGAUCGGCCGCACUGGAACUGGGCCACGGUCCAGACUCCUACGGGAGGCAGCAGUGGGGAAUAUUGGACAAUGGGCGAGAGCCUGAUCCAGCCAUGCCGCGUGUGUGAAGAAGGUCUUCGGAUUGUAAAGCACUUUAAGUUGGGAGGAAGGGCAGUAAGUUAAUACCUUGCUGUUUUGACGUUACCAACAGAAUAAGCACCGGCUAACUUCGUG